CUUUGUAUUAACUGAUUUUUUCAACUUCUAAUAUUUUUGAGCCAUUGUCAGCCCAAUUAAGUGUUCGGCACAUGUUUUGCAUUUCAGAAUCCAUACACCAUUCAUCUGUAAAGAGGUAUGAAAGGGAUGUGAGUCAUUAGUCAUCGUCAGGAAACACGUUUCUGAAAAAUUAAUACAUGACCAGUUGCCGGAUUGAGGUUAACGAAAACAGCAAUGAAGACCAAGCAUAAAAUAUUUGAAAAAAAUAGGAUGCAAAAUGGAUAUUCCAGAUGACAAGACUCUCGUUGUCGUUGUUCCCACGGAGUCAGAGCCCUAGAGCUGCCUGACCAUGGGUGUGCUGGGUCUCCUGGGACAGAACGGGGCUCACACUGCUCCUCAAAAAAAGACUUCAGAUACUUAAAAGGAACAGAAUAAAGUGAGAGAUUUACUAAGGAGAACUUUAAGAAGAAAGGAGAGGUGCUCCAUCCCUCUGAUCAUCUUCGUGGCCCUCCGCUGCCCAAAGCACAUAGAAGAACAACACUCGCAUCCAGCCAACUGCUGUGCAUCGAUGACGCUGAGGGACACGGCUGCAUCAUGCAGAAAACGUGUUUAUAGCUAUAACAUCCACAGACCUCAGCGAGGUAAACUUCUCCUGCUUACUGGCACAUCAGUGAAAACUAAGAAUAUCUGCUCAUACCGAGGGAAGAACCAUGUUACUCAAAAUGCAUUGUGUACCAGUUGUGGCAUGGAAACUACACUCUCUGCAUUGUAUUUAAUGCUUUAAUGAUGCCAGAACACCUGCCUUGAAUAAAUAAGUUACAUGAGCUCA
rnacentral:lncRNA from 1 species